GGAUACGAUGGUGAUAGACCUAUGACAUCUGUCACCCUACUGAUCACCAGAGUUAACUAGACUGAUGUCGCUGGCUAGGCAGGUGUCCCCAUCCUCCCUCACUGAUUCAUAUGUAUCCCUCCUGAAGCUGUGCACUUGGUCAAAAGAGGACAGCCUUCUCCUAUUAGAGACAGAUCUGUCUUCAAGGGUAUAAGAGUAACUGCACUCCCCAGCUACAAUCUCCAAACGAGAUCUCAAGAAGACCUAUACUGACUUUAAUAUAUAACACUGCUUGCCUACCACCACCUUGU
rnacentral:snRNA from 1 species